rnacentral:rRNA from 1 species
UACGGAGGGUGCGAGCGUUGUCCGGAAUCAUUGGGCGUAAAGGGCGCGUAGGCGGCCUGGUCAGUCAGUGGUGAAAGCGCGGGGCUCAACUCCGCGUCGGCCAUUGAUACUGCUGGGCUGGAGCACUGUAGAGGCAGGCGGAAUUCCGGGUGUAGCGGUGGAAUGCGUAGAGAUCCGGAAGAACACCGGUGGCGAAGGCGGCCUGCUGGGCAGUGGCUGACGCUGAGGCGCGACAGCGUGGGGAGCAAACAGG